UCGGCUCGAAAAAAUCAACACCACACCACUACCUCUACCCCUUAUCUCUUUCCCCUCCCGAUCUGAGCGGCGGCGGCGGCGAUGACGUUGACGCUCGCAUUCGGCGACGCUUCCCGCACUCUGUCCAUCUCUUCCUUCCCACCACUCCAUCACCAUCCCCACAUCGCUGCUGUUUUCCCAUGUGGAGGUGGUCCUGUCGCGCCGAUGCUCUCACCCAGCUGCCGUCGGCGGCACUUCUUGUUCGUGCCCAGGCGCCCGUUGCGGUCAUCUCUCCCCUCGCUCCCAUGGAGCCACUGCCCCAACCUAUACCCAACUCCCUCUCCCCCCUCCCAUGGUAGCAGAUCUGAGCGGGACAAGGUCCCUUCGGUCCUGGUGGUUCGGAACGAGGCAGGCGGCUUCUGCUCCCUUAUCUUCUGGCGACUAGGAGUGUGGCCGGUUGGUGCCCCCAUCUCUCUUAGACAUCCAUGGCAGCAACAACAUCCGGUGAAACGAACUUGAAUAGGUUUGGUGGAUGUUUGGGCAAUUACUCAACUAGGAGCACUAACUAAAACAGAAGGCCACUGAAACUUUAGUAGAUUUUUGUGGUUCCAGUGUAAGUAUUUAUUUUAUUGUUUCAGCAUUAUACAUGAUUAACGCUUUGAUAGUAAGUGUAUGAAUACAUGAUUGAUGUACAUUAAUCCAUGAUUAUUUUCUUUGGGAGAUUUUCUGGAGAUUUUCUGAAGUUGUAAGUCUGUACCUAACCAACUGAAUAUUAUAGAUGCAUUUGUUACUUUUACUUGACAGCAUUGACACUCUGAAGAUUGUAGGGCUCAAUCGACACAUGGUGUGUCAGCAUUUGCCUAUUUACCUCAAGGGCCUGCCAAGAGUGUUGCCAAUACCAGCGUGCUUUUUGCUACAGAAAUGGAUUUUUGAACACUUGUAGCACAUGGUGUCCUGGGAAUCCUGGCUAUGUAAAUUUCACCUGCUAGCUCAUUAUCAGGGGAAGUGUUGGUCAUGCUAGUGUGCAUACUCACUUGGGAAGAAAUGGAAGUAGGAGAGAGCAUAUCAUCCAAUACUAAGGAUUUCAAUUAUCAUGGUGUAUUCAAGUCAAAGCUAAAUAGUAGUCUACAUCCGCCUACCUUGGCAAGGAUACCAGGAACACUAUAUGCUCAGCAAUCGUACAAAGUAAAUGAUGCAUUUCCUUCCAAAUGGAUAUACAAAAAGUUGAUUGAGGGUUUUUAUGCCACAUCCAUGGUUACUGCUGGAAGUCGAUUGGCAGUCUUCAUGUACCGAUAUGCUAUUUUUAUAGAUUAGGAAGCAAACACAAGGAUGGACUCACUAUGAACCAUGAAGCCAGCGAUCCACAUCAACUGGAUGUUUUAGCUCUCAUUUUGUAUAUCUGAUGUAUCAUAGUUGCAUCUUCUAGCUGUCCUUCUGUGAACCUGAUGUAUGGUGUCUUGACGGUUAUGUCUAGAACAAAGUGAAGUGUAUGUACGUGACAUGGUGUCUUGAUUGUUAUGUCUAGAACAGACUGAAAUGUAUGUAUGUGACAGUUAGUUAAAUGGAAUAAAAAAUGGUUGGUGGACCUGA